GACUGGAGGUAGCAACAGAACCUGCAUCGUUGGAAUAGGAUGGUCCGGCGUAAUGCCGACAUGUGUGGAAGAUGUCGGCCCAGAUUAUCGCGUGACCUUUCCGCUCGGUGUUUGGAUGGUUCUGCAAAUCCCGCUAGCUUUUGGAAUUAUGAACAUCAUACAAAGAUGCCGCAAAUGGUGGAGACAAUAUAGAAUAUGUUGACGAGUACUGGGGACAGAAGAAAAAGAACGCAAAAUUGUGAAAUGAAAAUAGGAUCGAGUGCUAGGAUCAAAAAUGAAUUUUGUUUUCUUCGUUCACUAGGAAGAUUAAUUUAAAUUAGAUUUUAGAUUGUAACAGCCUAUUCGUAUGCAUUAUGUCGCUGACGUUUGUCGGUACAAUAGUGACUGUGUUAGCGUGAUGAGCCAUUUUUAAGGUCAUAAUAUCACCUAUUUAGUCAUGUAGUCCACCUUU